rnacentral:tRNA from 1 species
GGAGAGGUGUCCGAGCGGUCGAAGGAGCACGCCUGGAAAGCGUGUAUGCGUUAACACGCAUCGAGGGUUCGAAUCCCUCCCUCUCCGCCA